AGGAUGUAGGGCGACAGAGAGACAGUCAUGCAUCACACAUCAACGCCGUCCUGUAGCUGUCCUGCUCAUGACAAUGGCCAGUCUCUCUUUACUGUGUACUGUCUUAUAUGAGGGGAUUUAUAUGAUGGACGGAAACAGGUUACUGAGACUCGGGGGGGAUGUGCGGACUGACAUAUUGUCGUAUUUUGUUCGAUAGUGGACAGAUUAUAUGGUCUUGAGUCUUGAGUUUGGCCAGUCGUCAGCCUAAAAGGAACACAGAAUACAAAAAAAAAAAAAAAAACACAGAAGAAAAGACUUGCUGAGGAAAUCUCACAUUCUUAACUAUCCUCCCUCUGUCAUUCAUAAUGUUUUUAAACUGAAACUACCACUAUUUGAAAUUGACUAAAGGCACAGUCUAAAUACAAAUACAACAUGUACUGCGAUCACCUGGUUUGAAUUAAAUUCUUUUACUUUUUUUCUCCUCAGUGCUCCACUUCCUACUUCCUGUGUCUAUUCCUCCCCUUCAUCAACUUCUCCUCACCUCCUGUGCGUCCCCUCACACUGAUUACUUAACCUUCUUCACCUGUGUCUUGUUAGCUCCUCCCCUUCUACUAUUCAAACCUGAUCCACUGCCAGUUUGUUUCAUGCCUAGUUUUUGUCUGUAGUUUUCCCUCCUGAGACUCUUCCUUCCUACUCCUAUCUUAAGGUCGGGAGGAAAGAGUUCCUGGAAAAUACAGUGCAAGUCCAACGGUGAUGAAAGCUCCCGCAGGACUCCGGGCUGACUGGCUGUAAAUGAACUCCAAAGUGGAGACUGAAAACAACCUGUCAGAGCUCUUCACCAUUGAGCAACCCUUCAAUACCAUAUUAGAGGGAAUUUAAACGUGUUCGCUGACACUCCGAGGCCCUUCCGAACACAGGUUGUGUUUUCCUCUCCUUUCUGUGGAUUUUUGACACCACUGCUCACUCUGUCUCCUGGUCGACAAGUCUCCCUGAGUCACCAGAGGCCUGUGCCAACUGGCGGGAACGAGCCUGACCGCUAACAAGUGUUCACUGACUCAUAGCGCCACAAAAACGUGUUCUUUUGGGGAUGAUCAAAAAAAUGUUUGAGUUCAUAGAGAGCGGCUGUCAGCUCUU